rnacentral:rRNA from 1 species
UACGAAGGGGGCUAGCGUUGUUCGGAAUUACUGGGCGUAAGCGCACGUAGGCGGCUUCUUAAGUCAGGGGUGAAAUCCUGGAGCUCAACUCCAGAACUGCCUUUGAUACUGAGGAGCUUGAGUCCGGGAGAGGUGAGUGGAACUGCGAGUGUAGAGGUGAAAUUCGUAGAUAUUCGCAAGAACACCAGUGGCGAAGGCGGCUCACUGGCCCGGUACUGACGCUGAGGUGCGAAAGCGUGGGGAGCAAACAGG